AGAGGUUGUGCUUGUCCACCAUCACAUUUUGUUGCUGUAUGACAGAUGGCAUCAGAGGGUUAGUCUGACAAAAUAGCAUCUGACAGGGAAAAGAGUCUGAAGCAAAAGUAUGGAACUGAAUUCCUCCAUGUGGAAAAAACUGCACUCACUGACAUUCAUUGAUGCUUGCUAAAUGUCUGUGGAGAUCAAAGAGUGGAUGUGAGCACAGUGAGGUGGUGGUGGUGCAUUUCAGAAGUGGUGACAGCAGUGGUGGGUCACCUCCGCUGGUGCAGAUUUUUUUACAAGCAUGACAUGCAAAGUCUUGUUCAUUGCUGGUGAAAAUACAUAAUGGUGGUGAAUAUGUUGAAAAAUAGUGUUUUGUAGCAGAGAAUUUUCUCUAUCAAAUAGCAUUAUUGUGGUCUUUGUAUCUACUGUAUUUCCCAUGGAGAUAAAUAGGAGGCAUUACUUUUGGAGUCACCUAUGUGUAUGGUAGGCAUAUUAUAGAAUCAUUUGAGUUGGAAGGGACCCUUAAAAGUUAUCUGGUCCAACUCUCCUGCAGUGAACAGGGACCCCUACAGCUCAGUCAUGUUGCUCAGGGCCCCCUCCAUCCUGACCUUGAAUGUCUCCAAGGAUGGGGCAUCCACCACCUCUCUGGGCAACCUAUGUCAGUGCCUCACCAACCCUGCUGUAAAAAAUCUUCUUCCUUAUAUCCAAUUUAAAUCUUCUGUCUUUAAGUUUGAAACCAUUUCCCCUUCUCCUGUCACCACAGACCCUGCUAAAGAGCCCUGUUUUAGAUAUUCAUAGGCCUCUCUCAGGUCUCCCCGGAGUCUUCUCUUCUCCAGGUUGCACAGCCCUAGCACUCACAUCCUGUACUCGCAGGGAGGUGUCCCAUCCUUGGGAUAAUUUCUGUGGCCCUCUGGAUGUGCUCCAAUAGAUCUAUGUCUCUCCUGUACUCAGGACUCCACAUUUGCAUGCAGUAUUCCAGGUGAGGCCUCACCAGAGCAGAGGGGCAGGAUCACCUUCUUCAGACUGCUGGCCACACUGCAAAAUGAAGUAUGAACUUGGAGAAGAAAUAGUGAGC
ensembl:lncRNA